rnacentral:rRNA from 1 species
CCUACGGGAGGCAGCAGUGGGGAAUAUUGGACAAUGGGGGCAACCCUGAUCCAGCGAUGCCGCGUGAGUGAAGAAGGCCUUCGGGUCGUAAAGCUCUUUAGGUUGGGAAGAAGGUAUGAUGGGGAUAAUCUGUCAUGCUUGACGGUACCGACAGAAUAAGCACCGGCAAACUCUGUGCCAGCAGCCGCGGUAAUACAGAGGGUGCAAGCGUUAAUCGGAGUUACUGGGCGUAAAGGGCGCGUAGGCGGUGAGAUGUGUGUGAUGUGAAAGCCCCGGGCUUAACCUGGGAAGUGCAUCGCAAACUGUCUGACUGGAGUAUAUGAGAGGGUGGCGGAAUUUCCGGUGUAGCGGUGAAAUGCGUAGAGAUCGGAAGGAACGUCAAUGGCGAAGGCAGCCACCUGGCAUAAUACUGACGCUGAGGCGCGAAAGCGUGGGGAGCGAACAGGAUUAGAUACCCUGGUAGUCCACGCUGUAAACGAUGAGGACUAGAUGUUGGUAGGGGAACCUAUCAGUAUCGAAGCUAACGCGAUAAGUCUUCCGCCUGGGAAGUACGGCCGCAAGGUUGAAACUCAAAGGAAUUGACGG